rnacentral:rRNA from 1 species
UACGUAGGGGGCAAGCGUUGUCCGGAAUCAUUGGGCGUAAAGAGCGUGUAGGCGGUCCGGUAAGUCCGCUGUGAAAGUCCAGGGCUCAACCCUGGGAUGCCGGUGGAUACUGUCGGGCUAGAGUACGGAAGAGGCAAGUGGAAUUCCUGGUGUAGCGGUGGAAUGCGCAGAUAUCAGGAGGAACACCCAUAGCGAAGGCAGCUUGCUGGGACGUUACUGACGCUAAGGCGCGAAAGCGUGGGGAGCGAACAGG